rnacentral:lncRNA from 1 species
GAGCUCACAAUUCGGUUUCUGGUACUUUACUAUAAAAUUCUGCACCAAAAUAUUCUCGCACACGCCUGCCUCUUGGAUGGUGGAAGUUCUUCCCCUAGACUUGUUACCAGACCACGAUCAGGGUCCUCUUCCCCUGCAGCGGCCACGGGCCACCCGGGAACUCAUUCUAACGACUGCCUCUUGCGGCUCGCGCUAACAAAUCCCGAACCCCGCCUGCCCGCAGCCUCUGCCAAGGAGACACCGCAGCCCCAAAUCCGUCCGCCCCUCCUCCCCGCCUUGUCCCGGCGCUGCUCGUCAUCCCACGCCAGGCGCCACCCUCUCCAUCCUGGAGAGGGUUUGGGGCUCCCCGGGCCGGCACCUACCUCCCACCUCCUCCUCCGGGCGGGACCGGGGUCAACGCUCGCCCGCCGCCUGCAACCGCCCCAACGGCCACGCCGAGCCUCUGGCGGAGAAGCGGGGCGCCGAGCCAGGUGCCGGCGCUCACCUCCGCGCCGCUCUCCCGCCCCCGCCCGCCCUCGGCCCCGCCGGAGCCCCUCCCCGGGCGGGAGCGUCACAAUCCCCGCCGCGGGCCGAGGCUCUCACCGUCACGACCCCGGGAGCGGCGGCGAGGCACCACUCGGCGUCCCAGCCCCGCUCGCGCAGCCCCGAGGGCCCGCACAGGCGCGGCGGCACGCAGCACCCUGGCCGCCGGCCCCGCCUCCGCCGCGGGCUCCCGCCGGCCCCGCCCCUCGCGGCCACCUCCCUGGCGCUGCAGGUUCCCAGCCCGCCCCCGCGCCCGGCCCGGCCGCCUCCCAUUGGCUCCGCCAGUUGCUAGGCGAUGAACAACCGCGGCCUGCAUUGGUCCAGUGGGGGCCUCCGGAGUCUCCUCCUCGCCUCCAAAAAAACCCGGAGAAAAAGAAAACCUUAUCCCCAGAGCCCGAGCGGGAUGCGGGCGCAGCUGCGGCUGAGGCACCUGUUACGCCCUGUGAUUCACCCGGCAGGGCCCUGCGCCCCGCCCCCUCCUCGGCCUGCAGAGCUCGGGGCCCAGGCCCCGGGGGGGAAGGGGGUCGUGGCUGCUUUAAAGCACGUGUUCCGAGCCCCAGUGAACCCCAAAACCCGGGUCCCCUAGGAGCAAAAGGGAAGGAAGCUCUCAGAAGAGCCACGUGCGCUUGCAAAAGUGGAGAAAUAAACCAAACAACAGCCGGAACCCUGAAUUAG